UACGAAGGGGGCUAGCGUUGCUCGGAAUUACUGGGCGUAAAGGGAGCGUAGGCGGUUAGUUUAGUCAGAGGUGAAAGCCCAGGGCUCAACCCUGGAAUUGCCUUUGAUACUGGCUAUCUUGAGUGUGGGAGAGGUUAGCGGAACUCCGAGUGUAGAGGUGAAAUUCGUAGAUAUUCGGAAGAACACCAGUGGCGAAGGCGGCUAACUGGCCCAUUACUGACGCUGAGGCUCGAAAGCGUGGGGAGCAAACAGG
rnacentral:rRNA from 1 species